rnacentral:rRNA from 1 species
GGCUUUUUGAUAAUAAUUUAAAGUUAGGCCUGCCCACUGAAAAAUUUUAAAGGGCCGCGGUAUUUUGACCGUGCUAAGGUAGCAUAAUCAUUAGUUUCUUAAUUGGAAGCUGGUAUGAAUGGUUAAAUGAGAAAAUAACUGUCUUAAAUUUAUUUAAAUUGAAUUUUAUUUUUAAGUUAAAAAGCUUAAAUUAAAUUAAAAGACGAGAAGACCCUAUAGAGUUUUAUAAAAUUAAGAAUAUUUAUUUUUGGAAUUUUAAUAAUAUAUGAAUUAAUUUAUUUAGUUGGGGUGAUUGAAAAAUUUAAUAAACUUUUUUUUAUAAUUUACCAUAGAUAAAUGAUUAGAUGAUCCAUAAAUAUGAUUAAAAGAGUAAAUUACCUUAGGGAUAACAGCGUAAUUUUUUUUGAGAGUUCAAAUCGAAAAAAAAGAUUGCGACCUCGAUGUUGGAUUAAAAUUAAUUUUUGGUGUAGAAGCUAGAAUAUUGGGUCUGUUCGACCCUUAAAAUUUUACAUGA